rnacentral:lncRNA from 1 species
AUGGAACUGAGCCCUGGGACAGGAAGAGCCUCACCUGGGGGCACAGGAGUGGAGCUCAGGGUGAUCGCCGAACUGUCUUGUCUGCAGCCACGAAGAGAGCACCUGGCAUGGGAGUCACACCGAAUGUUCCCUCAGCCUUCUCCAGUGGACAGCAGCCACUUCACUCCCUGUGUUGUAAAACCUCAGGCCAGACUGAGACUUUUCCUGGUGAUGAGGAUCAAGGCUGCCCCAGGGAGAGAAGCCCAAGGCGUCCUGGCCCACAUGCCAAUCUAUAUCAUCCUCCGGGAAGCACAGGACGUCUGACAUGAUCCGACCUGAUUCGUAUCCAGAGUUAUAGAACCACCCAAUAACCAGACCCCACCUGCACUGACACAAUUUUAACGACUUUUUUACAUGAUCUUUCCUUUGUCUUGUAAAGAAAUAACUCACAUACCCAUGCCUUAUAAAUUGAGCCCUGCCCUCAACCCAUUGCAGCUCUUCACUGCCCAUGGGGCCUGUCCUCAUGCUAUUCUCUGAAUAAAGGAGCACUACUACCAGACCCUGAGAGUCCG